rnacentral:lncRNA from 1 species
CCCGCAAAACUGCAGCACAAAAGAAUUUCAGAUCCACCCACUCAGAAGUCUGAAGCCAGUGUGGCUCGCCCUCACUGAUCUCAGGGUCUGCAUUUGCAAUGUAAUCAACUGAACAGAACAAAAAGGCUGAUCCCCCAUCCAGUACCAAGACAGACCUGAUCAUAAAACCAAUAACAAAGAAUGUCAGAAGUCUUUUACAUGGAAGAAGAAAAAAAUGCGAGCAAGAAGGCCUAAGAAAGGAGAGGUUUCAAUAGACGGUACACUCGGUUGUUCCCUUAGACCACCUUUGUUAGUCUUCGCCUCAAAGAAAAACAUUUCCACUGAAAACCACAUAAUCUGGUUUAACAGAUUAAAUAUAUAAACUAUGAUGUGCUGGG